rnacentral:rRNA from 1 species
GUCCUAAGGUAGCGAAAUUCCUUGUCGGGCAAGUUCCGACCUGCACGAAUGGCAUAACGAUGGCCACACUGUCUCCUCCUGAGACUCAGUGAAGUUGAAGUGUUUGUGAUGAUGCAAUCUCCCCGCGGCUAGACGGAAAGACCCCAUGAACCUUUACUGCAGCUUUGCAUUGGACUUUGAACCGAUCUGUGUAGGAUAGGUGGGAGGCUGUGAAACCGGGACGCCAGUCUCGGCGGAGCCGUCCUUGAAAUACCACCCUGAUUUGUUUGAGGUUCUAACCUAGGCCAGUCAUCCUGGUCGGGGACCGUGCAUGGUGGGCAGUUUGACUGGGGCGGUCUCCUCCUAAAGGGUAACGGAGGAGUGCGAAGGUACGCUAGGUACGGUCGGAAAUCGUGCUGAUAGUGCAAUGGCAAAAGCGUGCUUGACUGCGAGACCCACAAGUCGAGCAGAUACGAAAGUAGGUCAUAGUGAUCCGGUGGCUCUGUAUGGAAGGGCCAUCGCUCAACGGAUAAAAGGUACUCUGGGGAUAACAGGCUGAUACCGCCCAAGAGUUCAUAUCGACGGCGGUGUUUGGCACCUCGAUGUCGGCUCAUCUCAUCCUGGGGCUGUAGCCGGUCCCAAGGGUAUGGCUGUUCGCCAUUUAAAGAGGUACGUGAGCUGGGUUUAAAACGUCGUGAGACAGUUUUGUCCCUAUCUGCCGUGGGCGUUGGAAGAUUGACGGGGGCUGCUCCUAGUACGAGAGGACCGGAGUGGACUGACCUCUGGUGUACCGGUUGUCACGCCAGUGGCAUCGCCGGGUAGCUAUGUCGGGAAGAGAUAACCGCUGAAAGCAUCUAAGCGGGAAACUUGCCUGAAGAUAAGUCUUCCUGGAGGCUUGACCUCCCUGAAGAGUCGUUCGAGACCAGGACGUUGAUAGGUCGGGUGUGUAAGCGCUGUGAGGCGUUGAGCUAACCGAUACUAAUUGCUCGUGCAGCUUGAUCCU